CCUCAGAUAACUAACCAAACUCUAUUCUGGUUGAUAUCUACAUAGGUGUUUUGUGGUUACCCAAGGGUGCUUCUCUUGUUCUGCUUGAGGAAUACCCAAUCCUCUGAUUGUUUUCUGUGCUUGUGGUACUUAUGAUGUUACAUAUCUUGGAGUUUAUGAGGAAAUCAAGCAGCAUUUGCUCAGCACCUGAUAGAGCAGAUGCUAAGCUGGAGUCAUCAUUUCUGCCCUCCAGUUUGUGCUCACCAUAGAACUUGGAGGAAAAUGUUUUUGAAGUCAUGGAAAGGACAUAAGAAACCAUCAGUUUCACCUAAAUAUAAUGGGAGCAGAAUAGAAGGCAGGGAUUAAAAGUUGCAAAUAGACAAGGAAUAAAAAUGGCUGAGUUCUGUAACAGGAACCACUUUGCAAGGGUUCUCAGGGUAAAACGUGACGGUCAGAAGCAGGGGAAGGAGGAAGAUUUGUCUUGAAGCUGUAUUCAUAGGGUAGCAAAGAGUUUUUACAUACACUGUAGGUAAUAAGAAACAUUAAUGACAGUCAUUACAUUCCCCCAGACUUUCACAUGGAAGGUGAGUUAAUUAUAUUUAUUCACACACACAUACACAUACUCU
rnacentral:lncRNA from 1 species